ensembl:snoRNA
UGCCAGUUCUUCACUGAGGAGUCAAAUCUUCAUUCCCUUCCUAGCCCUGGAAUAAUGUAUUCUUGUUUAUUGGUAAAGUUGUCACCAUGUAAUAGGGAUCAGAUUCAGACUUGCACGAGUAACAUUC